rnacentral:rRNA from 1 species
AAAUUGAAGAGUUUGAUCAUGGCUCAGAUUGAACGCUGGCGGCAGGCCUAACACAUGCAAGUCGAACGGUAACAGGAAGCAGCUUGCUGCUUCGCUGACGAGUGGCGGACGGGUGAGUAAUGUCUGGGAAACUGCCUGAUGGAGGGGGAUAACUACUGGAAACGGUAGCUAAUACCGCAUAACGUCGCAGGACCAAAGAGGGGGACCUUCGGGCCUCUUGCCAUCAGAUGUGCCCAGAUGGGAUUAGCUUGUUGGUGAGGUAACGGCUCACCAAGGCGAC